UACGAAGGGUGCAAACGUUGCUCGGAAUCAUUGGGCGUAAAGCGCACGUAGGCGGCCCUGCAAGUCGGAUGUGAAAUCCCACGGCUCAACCGUGGACGUGCAUUCGAAACUGCUUGGCUCGAGUAUGGAAGAGGGUCGCGGAAUUCCCGGUGUAGAGGUGAAAUUCGUAGAAAUCGGGAGGAACACCAGUGGCGAAGGCGGCAACCUGGGCCAAUACUGACGCUGAGGUGCGAAAGCGUGGGGAGCAAACAGG
rnacentral:rRNA from 1 species